rnacentral:tRNA from 1 species
AGAUGUAAAAUAGAUUUUACUAUAUUUGGUUACGGUCCAAAAUGAUGCACAUCUU